rnacentral:rRNA from 1 species
UAGGGAAUCUUCCACAAUGGACGCAAGUCUGAUGGAGCAACGCCGCGUGAGUGAAGAAGGUUUUCGGAUCGUAAAGCUCUGUUGUUGGUGUAGAAGGAUAGAGGCAGUAACUGGUCUUUAUUUGACGGUAAUCAACCAGAAAGUCACGGCUAACUACGUGCCAGCAGCCGCGGUAAUACGUAGGUGGCAAGCGUUGUCCGGAUUUAUUGGGCGUAAAGCGAGCGCAGGCGGAAUGAUAAGUCUGAUGUGAAAGCCCACGGCUCAACCGUGGAACUGCAUCGGAAACUGUCAUUCUUGAGUGCAGAAGAGGAGAGUGGAAUUCCAUGUGUAGCAGUGGAAUGCGUAGAUAUAUGGAAGAACACCAGUGGCGAAGGCGGCUCUCUGGUCUGCAACUGACGCUGAGGCUCGAAAGCAUGGGUAGCGAACAGG